GAUGAACGCUGGCGGCGUGCUUAACACAUGCAAGUCGAACGAUGAAGCCCAGCUUGCUGGGUGGAUUAGUGGCGAACGGGUGAGUAACACGUGAGUAACCUGCCCUUAACUCUGGGAUAAGCCUGGGAAACUGGGUCUAAUACCGGAUAGGAGCGUCCACCGCAUGGUGGGUGUUGGAAAGAUUUAUCGGUUUUGGAUGGACUCGCGGCCUAUCAGCUUGUUGGUGAGGUAAUGGCUCACCAAGGCGACGACGAGUAGCCGGCCUGAGAGGGUGACCGGCCACACUGGGACUGAGACACGGCCCAGACUCCUACGGGAGGCAGCAGUGGGGAAUAUUGCACAAUGGGCGAAAGCCUGAUGCAGCGACGCCGCGUGAGGGAUGACGGCCUUCGGGUUGUAAACCUCUUUCAGUAGGGAAGAAGCGAAAGUGACGGUACCUGCAGAAGAAGCACCGGCUAACUACGUG
rnacentral:rRNA from 1 species